CAUCAUGGUCUUCACUGGACUGGCAGCUGCAGCGGAAUGUCCCACGAAAUGUACCAAGAUAUAUGAUCCAGUCUGCGCCUCUGACGGUGUAACCACUCGAACAUUCUCCAAUGCAUGUGUGCUGAAUGUGUACAACUGCCAGAAUCCUCAGCACAUUUUCAUAGUAGUGAGAAAAGGCAGUUGUGAUGAUGACGUCGUCUGAACCGGAAGAGGUUAAUCCACUAUUAUUAUUUUAUUAAGUGCUGUAUAACUGAUUGACAUUUUCUGUAAGCAUCGGACUCUAUUGAAAAAUAAAUUGAUCGCAUCUGAAAUCA